CAAUAGCGUAUAUUAAAGUUGUUGCAGUUAAAAAGCUCGUAGUUGGAUUUCUGGUCUUUGAUGGUGCGGUCCACCUCACGGUGAGCACUGUACUGUUGGAUCAUCCUCUCGGAGAUGGCAGGUGCACUUAGUUGUGUGUUUGUUGUAUUCGGGACCUUUACUUUGAAAAAAUUAGAGUGUUCAAAGCAGGCAAACGCUUGAAUACAUUAGCAUGGAAUAAUAGAAUAGGACUUUGGUUCUAUUUUGUUGGUUUCUAGGACCGAAGUAAUGAUUAAUAGGGACAGUUGGGGGCAUUAGUAUUUAAUUGUCAGAGGUGAAAUUCUUGGAUUUAUGAAAGACUAACUACUGCGAAAGCAUUUGCCAAGGAUGUUUUCAUUAAUCAAGAACGAAAGUUAGGGGAUCGAAGAUGAUCAGAUACCAU
rnacentral:rRNA from 1 species